rnacentral:rRNA from 1 species
UAGGGAAUCUUCGGCAAUGGGGGCAACCCUGACCGAGCAACGCCGCGUGAGUGAAGAAGGUUUUCGGAUCGUAAAGCUCUGUUGUAAGUCAAGAACGGGUGUGAGAGUGGAAAGUUCACACUGUGACGGUAGCUUACCAGAAAGGGACGGCUAACUACGUGCCAGCAGCCGCGGUAAUACGUAGGUCCCGAGCGUUGUCCGGAUUUAUUGGGCGUAAAGCGAGCGCAGGCGGUUUGAUAAGUCUGAAGUUAA